CGUAAAAAAAUAAAAUAAAAAAAAAAAAUUAUCAGUAGCACAAUGCGUAAUGGUAACUAUAAAAGUUUAGUAGUUACAAAAUAUUUAAUCAUGGGUCUUGUAAAUAAAUAAUAAUAAGUCGCGACAUUUUCAAAUCAUGAAUUAAAACUACUCCAUUUUUUAUUUCGCUUAUUUUUUUUUUAAUAUUAGCAAUUACAAACACUGGGAAAAACAAAAUGCAACAAUUUUGUUAGCAGUCCUUUAUUUAUUUGUUUUUUAUUUGUUUAUUCAUUUGUUUUUUAUUUGUUUAUUCANNNNNNNNNNUGUUUAUUCAUUUGUUUUUUAUUUGUUUAUUCAUUUGUUUUUUAUUUAUUUAUUUUUAACAUUAAUUUAUAUAUAUAUAUAUAUAUAUAUAUGUAUAUGUAUAUGUAUAUGUAUAUAUGUAUAUAUGUAUAUAUGUAUAUGUCAGUGUUUAUUUUUUGAAUUGUUCAAUGUGUAAGUAAUAUAACACUUAAAGUGUGGUUAAAAGAGUUGAAAAAGAGAUAGCCAAAAUAACAAAACAAAAAAGCUUAUGAAAUACAGGAAUUUGUAUAAAGUGUGUAUGAGGUCAUGAGUACACUUGUGUAUAGUAAAUAUACGAAUAAACAAAAUGGAAAAGAACAAAAUAGAGCACUUGGUGAAAGGCUUGAGCACGUUUGAAAUGUUUAUGAAUCAAUAUAUAGUAAAAUACAAAAACUCAAAAGUUUGUUAUGUUUGUAAGGUAAAAUAAAAAAUUCAAAAAAAAAGCGAACAAACAUGUACAUAUUUGUAAAAGCAUAUACAUAUGUUUAUGCAUGUACAUACGACAGAUGUUUUUUUUUUUUUUUUUUUUUUUUUUUCAAUUUUAAAGAAUAAGAUAACAAAUAAUCAUGUUGAAAAAAUGGAAAAUGUAUGUCCCAAAAUGUGGAAAUAUUUCCAUGGUCUUAUUAUACAACCACAAUGUCCAUUGCAAAGUUUUGGAAAGGUUAUGAAGGUAAAAGAUUUAAGGUUUGAAGAAUUAGAAAAAUAUAAGGAUAGUUUGCAGAGGAAAUAAAAAAUAAAUCAUUACUCUUUUCUUUCUCCCUUAAAAAAAAACAAAAACAAAAAAAGGCAGGGAGAGCAGAUAGUAUUAGAUGAAAGAGGUGAUGAAUAAAUAGAAAGGUUGAAAAGGAAAAUAAUAUAUU
rnacentral:lncRNA from 1 species